rnacentral:hammerhead_ribozyme from 1 species
ACUCAGCUGCUGAAUCCUCAUAGGACGAAACGCGCGUCCUGGAU